rnacentral:rRNA from 1 species
GUCCACGCUGUAAACGAUGAGUACUAAAUGUUUGUAGGGGAACCUAUGAGUAUUGAAGUUAACACGAUAAGUACUCCGCCUGGGGAGUACGGCCGCAAGGUUGAAACUCAAAUGAAUUGACGGGGGCCCGCACAAGCGGUGGAGCAUGUGGUUUAAUUCGAUGCAACGCGAAGAACCUUACCUACCCUUGACAUCCUGCGAAGUUGACUGAGAGGUUGACGUGCCGCAAGGACGCAGAGACAGGUGCUGCAUGGCUGUCGU